GACGAACGCUGGCGGCGUGCUUAACACAUGCAAGUCGAACGGUAAGGCCCUUCGGGGUACACGAGUGGCGAACGGGUGAGUAACACGUGGGUGAUCUGCCCUGCACUUCGGGAUAAGCCUGGGAAACUGGGUCUAAUACCGGAUAGGACCACUGCCUGCAUGGGUGGUGGUGGAAAGCUUUUGCGGUGUGGGAUGGGCCCGCGGCCUAUCAGCUUGUUGGUGGGGUGAUGGCCUACCAAGGCGACGACGGGUAGCCGGCCUGGGAGGGUGACCGGCCACACUGGGACUGAGAUACGGCCCAGACUACUACGGGAGGCAGCAGUGGGGAAUAUUGCACAAUGGGCGCAAGCCUGAUGCAGCGACGCCGCGUGAGGGAUGACGGCCUUCGGGUUGUAAACCCCUUUCAGCACCGACGAAGCGCAAGUGACGGUAGGUGCAGAAGAAGGACCGGCCAACUACGUGCCAGCAGCCGCCGCGG
rnacentral:rRNA from 1 species